CGAUGAGUCCCUUUUCAGAUACAACUGGAAAUUUAUCAAUCGAUCCUUCCCGUGCAUCCCUUAAAAUCGCUUAAAAUCCCUAAAAUUUUAAUAAAUUUAACCCCAUACUAUCACCAUUCCCCCGAAUGUGCUCACCUUGGCACCCCGCAGCUCUCACUUGAAGAUAUCUUCAAAAUAUCUUCAAAACCCUCUCCAAAAUCCUUCCAAAAUUCCAGAACCUGUCCAAAAAUUAAUUAAAACUCUUUUCCAGACCUCUCUGGCGGGGCCAAACCCGAGGAUUUUCCCACCUGCUGCCCUCCCUGGAGCCCAUUCCUGAGGGAUGUUAUGUGGGACAACGCUGCUGCUUUGCUUUCGGGACUCGACUUUUGCAUCAGAACCUGAACUGAUUGGUCCUGCUGGAUCUCUGACCGUUCCUCUCUCAUAAACAGCUGGCCUGCAGCCUGUUCGGGCACUUGCAGCAUCUCUAAGGUCUCAUCUCCCGGGAGAGUUCUCCUCUCCAGGUGGACAUCGUGAGCUCUCCCAGGCCUCAUCCAAAGCAGACGAGCUCCAUAUCCACAUAAUUAAUAACCAGGACGGGUUUACAAACUGUUUGUUGUCGUUUUUUUGUUGGGUGGUUUUGUUUUGGUUUUUUUUAACAAAAAA